rnacentral:sRNA from 1 species
GAUAGGUCUUCUAGAAAACCCUUCGGCAUGCUGAAAGAUCUACCAGUCAUGAUUAAUGGAGUAGAAGUGCCUACAGACUUCGUGGUGAUGGAUAUGGAAGUAGAGCAUAAGGAUCUCUUAAUACUGGGAAGACCCUUCUUAGCUUCGGUGGGAGUAGUGAUAGAUGUCAGGGAAGGGAAAAUAGGUCUCAACCUUUGAAAGCACAUCAAGUUGCAGUUUAACAUCAACAGAACUCCACAAGGGUCAACAGAAAAUGGAAGAACCUCUGGAAAUGAUAGAGUGAUCUCAAGAGAAGAAUAUGAGACUGAAAGAGUGAAAGAAUUUAAAAAGAGGUCUGAUAAGCAAGAUGAAACUAUAGAGAAGCUAGCCCACACUGUUGAGGAACUUAUAAGUAAGCUGAAUCAGUUGCAGAAGGAAGCUCAACCUAAAGGCGGGAUCGACACUAUCCCGAGAAAGAAGUUCACUUCAAGAUGGUCUGAAGAGAUAGAUUACCCUCCAGAAGAGAAAGAAGCAUAUUUUGAAGAGAGGGGAAUUGAGUAUUCUGCUGCAGACCUCUCCAAGGAGGACGCUGAGUAUGAUGAUGGUAUCAGAGAGGAUUAUGCAGACCCUCUCUACAGUUCAUUUUCUUCUUGAUAAGUGUGAGGAGUCAAGCUAGAGACUUAAAACAAGCUCACUUGGGAGGAAGUCCCAUGAUUAUCCUUGUAAAUAAUUUUUACUUUCUCAUUAUUUUUGAUUUGUUGUAGUUGUGUUUGUCGUUCUCAGGAAAAAAAAAAAAAAAAAAAAGGAGUACGUGAAGGUAGAGUAAAAAUUCAAAACUUUUACUCUACUGAGGGCCUAGAGAUCGAGCACAUUGGUCGAGUAUGGAUGAUGUUUAAAACUUAAAAACUUUUAAAUCAUCAUUUUACUCGACCAACAGGAGCUACAGAGUCUUACAGAGAGUUCAUCAAGUUUACAGCAAAUUUUAGGAUUUCCUGAAACUUUCCUAGUGAAGAAAGAGUAAUGAUUCAGAACAAAGAGACAAGCGAGGGACCCACUGCUGCACCCUAUGUCUCCCACGCUCCUAACCAACAGACAAGAAAUCCAACUCCUUCUUCUCACACCCACUCGACCCCCUCACCUUAUCCCAUCUCUACACUCCACUCGACCUCGGCGACAUCACCCUCCUCACUUAUCACUUACUCGACUUUGUUAUCUCCACCUCACCUAUCAAACUCGACCCAUCCUCAUUCAUCAUCACCAACAAAACAACUCUCAUACUCCCAACCACUCGACCUCCUCACCACCCUCUUCAUAUACUCGACCUCAUCUUUCUCCAAACACCAAACUUUUCACAACUCUCUCAUCUCCCAUCGUCGCUCAUUGCAAUUCAAGUCCUCAAGUGUUCGUCACAAUCACUCGACGUCUACCCCAAGACCAUCACUCGACCGCCGCAGCUCACUUCUUCUCCAAAGCCACCACCGACUUCUCUUCUUCCGCGAGUUCAACAUCACUCGAGUUCUCAUCACGAUUGUCAUUCUCACAAGCUUUACUCGAUCUCUUCACCACCAUCUUCAUAACCGAGUCACUCGAUUCAACAAACGCACUCGACCGCUGCACCACCUUCUCCUCCGUCCAAGCCGCACCACUUGGCCGCUUCAUCUCUCUAGCCCAUACUUCACUCGACCACAGUCCCACUUCACCACCUCUCCUUCAUAGCCACUUCACUCGAUUCACUGCAUCUCUCUCAUCAUAGCUCACUCCAAUUAUCACCAAGUACUCGAUUUCAAAUCAUCAUCAACUUCACCGCUUUACUCCAUUCACUCGACUUCACGGCAAGAGCACAUCCGCCUUUCAAGCUCACAUUUAUCACUCGACUUCCUCAAGCUCAUUAGAUUCACCACCAAAACAACAUCACUCGACCGCGAGUUCACCAAACCGAAAAAAAAGAAGAA